rnacentral:misc_RNA from 1 species
CGCACAUUGCGCCCCUUGGCAUUCCAUGGGGCAUGCCUGUUCGAGCGUCAUUUACCCCCUCAAGCUAUGCUUGGUGUUGGGCGUCUGUCCCGUCACACGCACGUGGACUCGCCCCAAAAAUAUUGGCAGCGGUCAUGCCAGCCCCCUCGCGCAGCAGUAUUGCGAUCGAUCGGUGGCACAGCAGCGACCCGCGUCCACGGAAAGACCACUCCGUCCUUUGACCUCGGAUCAGGUAGGGAUACCCGCUGAACUUAA